ACGCUUCACAUUGAUAUCGCCCUGCUGAUUUCUUUAUCGCAGUCUUGGGUUGUUUAUUUUUCUUUUACUGCCAGAUGUGAUGCUUCAAGUUUCAGUGCAAUGUCGAUGUCUUUGGUAGUUUACGGGGGUCUAAUCCACCUGAAUUGUGAGCAUGCAGGUUGCUAAAGCCCAGGGAAUAAAGCUUGAUAGAGAGGCAAUUGAUCUAAUGCCUGACACCGGUAAAUCACAUACAGGGCGUCAACGCAGGCGUCGCCAUAGCUGCAGAAAGAAGCGGCAUGAGGUCUACUUCGGUCUUUGCAAAAUUAUCGACCCUCCCAUUCCAUAACAGUACGCUUCCCAAAGAUGAGCGCAGUCACGAGGAAGUCCUUGAUGGAAAGUUAGAUUGCUAAGCUCGGUACGUCAUAUUCUUCAUGCAGUGACAUAAACUCGGACUUAGACACAUGAUAUUUUCACCACAAUGCGGUUAAAUUAGGGGUGUCGGGGUUCAAUUGAACGGGGAAAUUCUACUACGACUUCCAAACAUCUGGAAUCUGGACGAUAACUGCUCAGAGCUUUGUGAUCCCAACCCAACGCAUGGCGCUGAGUCACGAGAGUGCGCAGUGGAGGAAGAUCACUGGGCUCGAUUAUUGGAGGCUUGCGAGCGAACGCGCAGAUGAGCUGGAUUUUACGAUGACUGUCGCAAGAUUUCAAAGAACUGAAUGUAAAGUAUAGCUGCUUCCUGCAUGAGAUCGACUCGUCCGUGUAUUGAAGUCUACGGAAGAUCCUUUGAGCAGCUUGACUUGCUCAAACCGACAGAUUUCAAGAGAUUAUAAUCUUAUGUAAGUAAUUCUGCAGCGACUAAGUUCAGUAUGGAAGUCGCAGUUCAAGAAAUUGAUGGUAUUUGGGUGCUGAUAUAUGUCAAGUUGAUCAUCGUCAUAACUCUCGGUAUAGAAUCACCCAAGAGGCCCUUGCAACAGGUAGAGGCAGUCUCCUAUCCAGAGGCAUUAUCAGAUGCGGAGGUUCAGCAUGGGUCUCCAUCGCAAUGGUACGCUUGAAGCUGAAUUUCGUUGAGAAAAAUCCUUGCCAGAUUUUCGAAUGUGCCAUAUUUUGCUGAUUCAUACUUCUGCAACCUCUUUCGCCUUUGUGCUACCAAAGCAGAAACUGCCAGAAAAUUGUUCAUUGUGGUUCAAUACCAGGUAUCUAUGCUGGGGAACCCGUCAACUCUCAAGACACAACACUCAAGCCUCGUCUUCAAAAGAAUGUGUAGGCAGUGGAUCGGAUACACUCAGUUCAUGUUACCAAUGAAUCUGUCAACACUGAAUCUGUCAAAAGAUUAGUCAGACUCAGAAUUGUCAUACGAAAGAGAACCUCAAACGUGCAAACCCAUUCCUCACGUACAAAGCUCAAGCCUCUAUACACCAACUUCAUUCUCAUUUAUCAUACUUGAAAAACCCAGUUCAUUUUUUCUCACUAGCCAAGACAGACGAAUAACAUUGUAUGUACCACAAGAAGCAUGAGAGAGACGUCCGAUCUGGUGCUGCAAUGAUGCCACAGAAGAGUCAGCCUGCACUUGAGCUUUGGUCUUGCUACUCUUCCUCGAAACGUCCACCUGCUUCAGCUCUAGUCUGUAAAGAGCACAAUCAGUGCAAACUGACAGUUCAUAUUCAUACAUGUGCCAUUCGUUGAGACCCUCGGGUUGAGGAUCCAUGUAAUAGGAGCGCUUUAAUCCUCCCAAA